UUAUUUAAGGUUGCCCUUUUGAGCUCAUUAUGAUGAUAAUUUCAGCUUCUACAAGGAGUUUCUUUUUGUGCAUUUGUCCUUUAUUUUAAUGUCAUAUUUAACUUGUACAGGCUCAUGAAAACAUAUAAAGGGUCUGUAUUGGGUAAUGUAUGUUCUAUAAAUGUCUCUAACAAAGCCCAGCGGCAAAUAGGGUCGUUUUAACUCUAUGCUUAAACCAAAACCUGAUGCACAUACUGUGAAAAAAUCAGCUCUCAUCUACUCUUUUUCCUCGUCUUUUACUAAUGGCUUGCUUAACCUAGUCUUAAA